rnacentral:lncRNA from 1 species
GGCGCGUUAAGCAUCACUGGUCCACGCGCUGCCUACAGUCUCCUUGCAGUCGAAGGGAGGAGAGCGAGACAAUACGCAGCACCUCCAUACAUGUAGUGAUGCAACUGUUGUAUUAAGGUUUCAUAUAUUGUAUAUUUCUAGAAUUCUUUCAUCUGAGAGGGAAGAGAACCCUUAGACACUCGGGACAGGUCGGUCGGCGCUUCUACGGCAGCAAAGAAUUCAAGAGCUGAAGACUGACUGUAGCAGAGUUGUAGGGCUACCGUAAAGCGAGCACUCGACGGUUUCAUUAGAUGCGUUUGCAGAGAAGUAAAGCAUGACAACAUACUCCGCGGGGUAAAACGACGACAUUAUGUUUUGACCAUCGACACUUUGACCUGUGAGAGAGAGGAGAGUCCUAUAAUGGCCCAUAGGAUAAGCAGUAAAAAAACAACUGAGGAGCAUCUGUUUGUGGAUCCAGUCCAUGUCAACCUUCAGAGCAACCAGACAUCUUCCCACUAACACAUCUGACUUCUGCUGAAAGGUACUGUAAUAUUGAAGGAUAUUACUAUAUUAUUAAUCAAGAUUUGGUAGAAGUAGUUUCAGCCGUGGAUAGUUUAAUAGUUGGGUCGUUCCACCAAUUGAGAACCUUUUGGGUAGUGUAACUUGGUAAGAAAUAUAUAUACAGUACCUGUCAAAAGUUUGGACACCUAUCUCAGUCAAGGGUUUUUCUUCAUUUGUACUAUUUUCUACAUUGGUUCCAACCGACGUGUCUUUGUGGCCUCCACAAUCUCCCGACCUCAACCCAAUUGAGAUGGUUUGGGAUGAGUUGGACCGCAGAGUGAAGGAAAAGCAGCCAAUAAGUGCUCAGCAUAUGUGGGAACCUUCAAGACUGUUGUAAAAGCAUUCCAGGUGACUUCCUCGUAAAGCUGGUUGAGAGAAUGCCAAGAGUGUGCAAAGCUGUCAUCAAGGCAAA